rnacentral:ncRNA from 3 species
AUUAGCGAAAUUAAAAACACGGUCUGGUCGGUAGUCCAGACGCAGCAACGGCUGUCAGUAACCUGCCUUCCUUGGUUGUCCGAAUUUCGUUAGUGAAAU